rnacentral:rRNA from 1 species
UACAGAGGCCUCGAGCGUUAGGCGGAAUCACUGGGCUUAAAGCGUGUGUAGGUGGAUGCCUAAGUACCUUGUGAAAUCCCACAGCUUAACUGUGGAAUUGCUUGGUAUACUGGGUGUCUUGAGCCACUCAGGGGCUACCGGAACAAGCGGUGGAGCGGUGAAAUGCGUAGAUAUCGCUUGGAACGCCAAUGGUGAAAACAGGUAGCUGGGGGUGUGCUGACACUGAGACACGAAAGCCAGGGAGCAAACGGG